rnacentral:rRNA from 1 species
UACGGGGGGGCGAAGCGUUGUUCGGAAUUACUGGGCGUAAAGGGCUCGUAGGCGGCCAACUAAGUCAGACGUGAAAUCCCUCGGCUUAAACCGGGGAACUGCGUCUGAUACUGGAUGGCUUGAGUUUGGGAGAGGGAUGCGGAAGUUCCAGGUGUAGCGGUGAAAUGCGUAGAUAUCUGGAGGAACACCGGUGGCGAAGGCGGCAUCCUGGACCAACACGUGACGCUGAGGAGCGAAAGCCAGGGGAGCAA